rnacentral:rRNA from 1 species
UACGAAGGGGGCUAGCGUUGCUCGGAAUCACUGGGCGUAAAGGGCGCGUAGGCGGCGUUUUAAGUCGGGGGUGAAAGCCUGUGGCUCAACCACAGAAUGGCCUUCGAUACUGGGACGCUUGAGUAUGGUAGAGGUUGGUGGAACUGCGAGUGUAGAGGUGAAAUUCGUAGAUAUUCGCAAGAACACCGGUGGCGAAGGCGGCCAACUGGACCAUUACUGACGCUGAGGCGCGAAAGCGUGGGGAGCAAACAGGAU